rnacentral:misc_RNA from 1 species
CGUCCACCUCUGAAAGUUUGAAAUGAGUGUCUGAGAAAUAGCAAAUGCGCUGUCAAUUGGCUAGGGCUGGCAUUUUGAAUUUUUGCUUUUAUCGUUUUAAUGAUCACUCGGAUGGUUUGAAAAGAAAGAUAAUUAAAGAAAUGUGACAUCGAACUAGUCGAAUAGUUUUCAUAACCUAACCCAUCCUUAUAACCCUUUAAUUGUCUCGGAAGUAUUCUACAAAGGAUAUCACGGAAGUAUACCGGAAAUACUUCCGAUGAUGAAUGUCUUUAAAUACGUGUGAAAUGAAAUUAACUGAAACUGACGCCAUGAAAUACAGAAGUAAAAUGCCGAUGAAGGCGAUGAUGAACUUCGCCCUUUGCUUCUUGGCUGCCGUCGUGGUGGUGGCUUGUGGCAAUCCAGGCUACGGAUACAGCUACGGAUACAUUUUCCCCAGCGUAGAUGGCUCUGUCUUAUUCCGCACCGGCAUAUACAAGGCUCCGGCGUACAAAGCCCCAGCUUAUUCACCUCCAGCAUAUUCUUCUCCUGCUUACUCAGUAUACUCACCUCCGUCUUACUCCCCUCCUGCUUACAAAGCUUUAGCUUACAUGGCCCUAGCUCCUUCGCAUUGACAAAAAAUUCAUUUAAAAUUGUACAAUUAGGUCACACUUGCCAAAUUGUUCAAUCGUUAUCUGAAGUAUAUGUUUCAUUUUUGGACAUAAAUGUACAUUUCUUAUUUAUUACUAUAACCAUGAACACUGUUAUCUUUACAAAUCAAUCGGCGCCAAUUAAAAUCGUUUAUGAAUGUUGAGAGUUUUACCGCAAGGUGGCUUCGUCAUCAGCUGAUUCAAGCAUGACACGAAAAUUUGCAUGAAACUAGCAACUAGCGAGUGAGCAUUGUUAUCUGUCCAGCAGGUUCUCAGGAUUGAAUGCUAGGUUUUAGAGAACUAAAAUGCGCUUUUAAAGUUCUGAGUAUUAUGUUAAGACCAGUCCUUCAACUACUGAGUUUUGAGACGUGUCAAUAAGAUGGCGUGUUGAUUGUGUUGAGUGGAAUACAAAUGU